ACAUUUCUGUUCUUGCAGUACACGAGACAGCGUCCUGUGGGAUUGCACGAAGAGGGCUGUUGAGCUGGUGGGAGCAGAGUGAGAGCCCCAAGCUGCUGCCAUGCAACCUGGCUCUCAUCUCAAACAGGGUGAGACUUGGCACAGCUGUAUGUGAGUGCAGGGAAAGGCUUGCAGCCCAUUACAGGACUGCAUAAGAGCUGAGGAUGUGACAGAGCUGCAGAUCUGCCUGGAAGAUUCCCAUAGCAGGUGUAAGCAAGGGCCAGAGCUGAAAUAGUGGGAGCAGCAGUACCUAGGUAGGAUGGGAGAGCUGCAGUGGAGGUGCCAGCCCAGGAGGAGGAUGGGCUGCUUGGAGUUCCACGCAGAAGCAUGGCACAUGAGAGGGAAGGAAAGAUGAGAUGUUCAAAAGGGGUCUUGGCAGAGCCACAGGAGAAGACCCAGCAUGGUUCAGGAGAGGACACACACUGCCCACCGGGAAAGGCUUGUGGGCAGGGCCUGAAAGCAGCACUGAGUCACUCGGUAAAGAAGCCUAUUUUGACAGCAUCCCCCUGGCCUAAGCAGGAAGUUCUCCAAGUCUGAAGACAUGGAGAGUUCUGGAUCUCGCAUGGUUAAAGCCCAGAUGUGCAAACCCUGAGAGGUGCUUAAGCUUCUGGAAAUGUUUAGACCGUGCAAAACUGGCAGUGCCGAGAGCCUCAUCUGUCACCGGAGUCAACCAAAAAGGUGUCUGCAGCACAAAUCCCCAAUCCUACGGUCACAUUCUUUGAAGUUCUGUUCUCUAACAUGACUAUUUUUAACAAAGGGGAGGGGGACAGUGGGGAGAAGCUCCAUCUUACUCACCAAAUCUGCGGGCUCCCUGUGUUCUGAGUCAUAGCUGCUGGCUGCACUGACAAAAGCAAGCUUUUUUAAUUUGAUUUCUACCCUCAUUGGUACAGUAGAGGGGGCACAGCAAAGACAGGGACAGCAGUAGGAUUGUGCAAGCAUCAACAAGAUGAUAAAUGGAUCCAUCAGUUUUCCUUGCUGGGAAUAAUAAUAAAGAGAAGCCCGAUUUUUCUCCCAGACCUCAGCAGGAGUUUUGCAAGGUAGAAAUCGGGCAUGGGAAGGAAGGAGGUUAGGAGGAAGAGGUGGAAAGUUGUUCGUCAGUAGAAGAGAGAUACAACUAUGAGCAUUCGAUGUACCACCAUCGUUCCUCUGUACAACACCAUGUCAGUGUUGCUUUACAUAGAAGAGACACUGAAGCAGAUCCCUCCACAAACCAUACAUCUGACAAAUGGGCAUCUCCCAGCAGUGCCUGUGUGUGAUGUGAUGCUAAGGAAGGUGCAGAGGCGGUCACCCUGUGUGAAUCCAACCACCUGCCUGCGUCUUCUGCAAUGAGGAAGGAAGGGAAACAAGUGAAGGAUCGAAAGGGGAAGAGCUGGGUCUCUUGGUAUUCGCUAGCUAUACGGUGCCUGCCAUGAACGAGUCAGCACUUGUUAGCACUUCCUACGUGGUGGGAUGUGGCACACCACACUCCUCACCCCGUGCACAGAAGAGGAAAUUGCUGAUAACUGUGAUAGUUUGCUGUUGGGCUACCUCACUUCGGUUAUCUAAACUGUUAUAAAAUACAUCAAGGUGAAGAAAGGGGCCUUUCGGUUGCAUGCUAAAUAUCACCCUGCUUUCUGUACUCCAACAUUAUCUGUUGCUGCUCUGCACUGUCAAGCUGAGAUCUCACCCCGAAGCAGUUGUGUUUCAGCACUGAAUACAGCAAUUCCUAACAUGUGAAUGGCCGUACGCCUCAUGCUCCCACAGCCAAAAUCUCCAUUAGAGCUUAUUUUAUAGCAGUUCAUACCUUUGUGUUUGCAGAAGACUUUGGGUACCAUCUGGGAAAAAUUGUUCUUUGUUAAAUUCUCCUUUAUUCCCUUUGGGUUAUGUUUUUAAGGCAGGAGAUGCUGAAGGAUGUUCUGAGGACGGUAAAAGCAGCUUGAAAUGAAGAUGUAGGAGGAAAAGUACUCAAGCUGUUUUUCUGCUUUUGCGAUUGAAAGGAAACUCAUGAUAUAGCAAAUUUUCAAUGGCACAAGAAAUUCUGCUGUCUACUUCAACAUGGCACUAUUAGGCCAGCAACAGGGGGAGCAGCUGCUCAGCCAUUGUAUAAUUGACAUCGCUGAUAAUGACCUUGGAUUCAUAAUUAAGGUUCAUGAGGAUCAGAGGAGGAAAAAAAAAAAAAAAACCCAGCCCUAUCCUUACAAAAAAAAAUGAUAUAAACAACUGUGUGAGUGAGCACAUUGGAACACAACUGAGGGCUGAAGAAAUCCUGCCAGUCCCAGGGCCCUGCAGGGGGUGAGAUGUGGGCGCUGGCGCUGGGAGAGUUUCCAGCUCUCUCCUGGUGAUGCUGAGCACUUGACCAGAAGUGCUGACAUUUUAAGAGGAGGUCAGAGAGGCUGGGGUUAGAACACGCUGCUG
rnacentral:lncRNA from 7 species